CCUACGGGUGGGCAGCAGUGGGGAAUAUUGGACAAUGGGGGGAACCCUGAUCCAGCCAUGCCGCGUGUGUGAAGAAGGCCCUCGGGUUGUAAAGCACUUUCAGUGAGGAAGAACGCCUGGUGGUUAAUACCCAUCAGGAAAGACAUCACUCACAGAAGAAGCACCGGCUAACUCCGUGCCAGCAGCCGCGGUAAUACGGAGGGUGCGAGCGUUAAUCGGAAUUACUGGGCGUAAAGCGCGCGUAGGUGGCUUGAUAAGCCGGUUGUGAAAGCCCCGGGCUCAACCUGGGAACGGCAUCCGGAACUGUCAAGCUAGAGUGCAGGAGAGGAAGGUAGAAUUCCCGGUGUAGCGGUGAAAUGCGUAGAGAUCGGGAGGAAUACCAGUGGCGAAGGCGGCCUUCUGGACUGACACUGACACUGAGGUGCGAAAGCGUGGGUAGCAAACAGGAUUAGAUACCCGUGUAGUC
rnacentral:rRNA from 1 species